rnacentral:rRNA from 1 species
GACGAACGCUGGCGGCGUGCCUAAUACAUGCAAGUCGAGCGAGCGGAACCAACAGAUUUACUUCGGUAAUGACGUUGGGAAAGCGAGCGGCGGAUGGGUGAGUAACACGUGGGGAACCUGCCCCUAAGUCUGGGAUACCAUUUGGAAACAGGUGCUAAUACCGGAUAAUAAAGCAGAUCGCAUGAUCAGCUUUUGAAAGGCGGCGUAAGCUGUCGCUAAGGGAUGGCCCCGCGGUGCAUUAGCUAGUUGGUAAGGUAACGGCUUACCAAGGCGACGAUGCAUAGCCGAGUUGAGAGACUGAUCGGCCACAUUGGGACUGAGACACGGCCCAAACUCCUACGGGAGGCAGCAGUGGGGAAUCUUCCGCAAUGGACGAAAGUCUGACGGAGCAACGCCGCGUGAACGAUGACGGCCUGG